UACGAAGGGGGCAAGCGUUGUUCGGAAUUACUGGGCGUAAAGGGCGCGUAGGCGGUGCUCUAAGUCAGGCGUGAAAAGCCCCUGGGCUCAACCCGGGAAUUGCGCUUGAUACUGGGGCGCUUUGAAUCCAGGAGAGGUUGGUGGAAUUCCCAGUGUAGAGGUGAAAUUCGUAGAGAUUGGGAAGAACACCGGUGGCGAAGGCGGCCAACUGGACUGGUAUUGACGCUGAGGCGCGAAAGCGUGGGGAGCAAACAGG
rnacentral:rRNA from 1 species